UACGUAGGGCGCAAGCGUUGUCCGGAAUUAUUGGGCGUAAAGAGCUCGUAGGCGGCUUGUCACGUCGGGUGUGAAAGCCCGGGGCUCAACUCCGGGCUUGCGGGCGAUACGGGCAGGCUAGAGUUCGGUAGGGGAGACUGGAAUUCCUGGUGUAGCGGUGAAAUGCGCAGAUAUCAGGAGGAACACCGGUGGCGAAGGCGGGUCUCUGGGCCGAUACUGACGCUGAGGAGCGAAAGCGUGGGGAGCGAACAGG
rnacentral:rRNA from 1 species